GGGUAUAGCUCAGUGGCAAAGCACAUGCUUUGUGUACAAAAGGUCCCGUGUUCAAGCCCUGGCAUCUCCA